GCGUGAUGACGAGGCACUACGGUGCUGAAGCAACAAAUGCCCUGCUUCCAGGAAAAGCCUCUAAGCAUCAGGUAACAUCAAAUCGUACCCCAAACCGACACAGGUGGUCAGGUAGAGAAUACCAAGGCGCUUGAGAGAACUCGGGUGAAGGAACUAGGCAAAAUGGUGCCGUAACUUCGGGAGAAGGCACGCUGACACGUAGGUGAAGUGAUUUACUCACGGAGCUGAAGGCAGUCGAAGAUACCAGCUGGCUGCAACUGUUUAUUAAAAACACAGCACUGUGCAAACACGAAAGUGGACGUAUACGGUGUGACGCCUGCCCGGUGCCGGAAGGUUAAUUGAUGGGGUCAGCGCAAGCGAAGCUCCUGAUCGAAGCCCCAGUAAACGGCGGCCGUAACUAUAACGG
rnacentral:rRNA from 1 species